UACGUAGGGGGCGAGCGUUGUCCGAAGUUACUGGGCGUAAAGCGCGCGUAGGCGGGUUCUUAAGUGAGGGUGAAAGGUUCGGGCGUCAACCCGAACACUGCCUUCAUACUGGGAACCUUGAGUAUGGGAGAGGCGAGUGGAAUGGUCGGUGUAGCGGUGAAAUGCGUAGAUAUCGAUCGGAACACCCAUGGCGAAGGCAGCUCGCUGGCCUAAAACUGACGCUGAGGCGCGAAAGCGUGGGGAGCAAACAGG
rnacentral:rRNA from 1 species